UUCCCUUCUUCUCAGGAGAUAAGCUUUAGAGAGAGGUCUCUGGGCACAGCAAGUAACCUGCAGAAAAGUAGGACUUUUCGCAUCCACUCCACUCAAGUCCCUGUGAGUUUUCUAAGACAAGCACAGCAUAAGUAGAAAGCAGCCUUUUGCCUUUGUGAGAUUCCCACCUGGAAAACAAAGGAAAAUUCAAUGGAUAAAUAUGAUGCUUAUGACUGCUGCUGGUACAUUCGUUAUUGACCCAGGUCAACCUCAGUGAACAGGUUGUAUUACAAAACAAGGCAAACUGAGUGAGUUUAGAGAGACACUGUCUCCAGUUGAAUGUUGCCAAAACAAAACAAAAAAGAAACAACAACAAAAACUUGUGUUCUAAAAUUGAUGCUGUUCUUUAAUAGCAUGCGUUAGCUUUAAUGAUGCAGUUCUCUCAGCUGUGGAGGAAAGAAGCAGCAGUUGGACAACCUUAGCUGGCCCUUCUUCAAGUUUAAUAUUCUUUCCUAGUUUUCUUGUGUGGCUCAUUGCAAAAGCCCUAUUUAUUUCUCACUAAACAGAAAUGGCAGGGCGCGGAGGAGAGGCAGUGUGUUUGCACUCCAGAGGACAGGAGCUGGCUGUACUCUUUUUGAACUACCAUAAAUUAUAGCAGCACAGGAAUGAGAUGAAAGUUACUCGUAGCCCUCCCUGCAUAGUUAAGAGAGAGGUUUUUAUUUUCCCCAUUUUAUUGUGAUACCAGUCCCCCAUAUUUGUCGUCACAACACUCACAACACCUGAGUAAAGGGGAUAAAGCCUGGAUCUCAUCAGGGUUUCUCUAUGUAAAUCCAUCCUGUGUGUUUGCCAAAAUAAUUCUAGAGAGGGGAUAUCUUUGGGUCCCAGAUUUAUUCAAGAUUCUAGAGGUCUUUGCCUUGCUGGGCGUACCCACUCCCGCUCUGCCAUGGUUCAUGUAGUAAAGCUCAACUACUUGUGGAUGAAGUGAUAGAUACCAAUGAGCCAGACCCUUGGAGAAAGGAAGACUAUGUAGAGCUUCAUCAACAAGUCCUCUGGCCCUAUGCAAGUCUACAGAAAGAUAAUGUUUUAACAUCUGAAUGUUUUAAAAGGAAGUUACACAUUUACACAUUAAAUGCUUAUCUCUGAGCUUUAAAAGUGCAGCGAUGUGUGUUAGCACACUUCUUGGAGCUCAUUACAUUUCAGAGAUAUUACUAAAAACACAGUCAACAUCUCUGAGACUUGCAUUCCUUUCUGUACAAAAGGACCUCAUUAUGAGGAGCUAGACAAUCUGCUGGAGAUCCGAAAUGGUGUAUGCGUUUUUGCAGGCAUAAACAGUUUGACAGUAAUUUCACUUCAAUGUUAUGUUAGCAGUUUGUAUCCGUUUUAC
rnacentral:lncRNA from 1 species